GAUGAAGAACGUAGUGAAAUGCGAUACGUAAUGUGAAUUGCAGAAUUCAGUGAAUCAUCGAGUCUUUGAACGCACAUUGCGCCCCCUGGUAUUCCGGGGGGCAUGCCUGUCCGAGCGUCAUUGCUGCCCUCAAGCACGACUUGUGUGUUGGGCCUCCGUCCUCCUCCCGGGGGACGGGCCCGAAAGGCAGCGGCGGCACCGCGUCCGGUCCUCGAGCGUAUGGGGCUUCGUCACCCGCUCUUGUAGGCCCGGCCGGCGCUUGCCGACACAUCAAUCUUUUUUCCAGGUUGACCUCGGAUCAGGUAGGGAUACCCGCUGAACUUAAGCAUAUCAAUAAGCGGAGGA
rnacentral:misc_RNA from 1 species